UGGUAGAAUUACCUCACAAGUUAUUAUAAAAGCGCUGCUAACGGAAACGGGGUGAAAAGCCCCUACUGUCCACAGCAACCGUGAAUGCCGCAGGGCAUGAGUCGGGAGACGAGCAGUGGCUUGGAUGGUUC
rnacentral:ncRNA from 2 species